AACGCACAUUGCGCCCCUUGGUAUUCCAUGGGGCAUGCCUGUUCGAGCGUCAUUUGUACCCUCAAGCUAUGCUUGGUGUUGGGUGAUUGUCCUCUCUAGGACUCGCCUCAAAGUCAUUGGCAGCCAGUAUUUUGGUAUAAAGCGCAGCACAUUUUGCGAUUUACUCCAGUAAUAUUAGCACCCAUUAAGCUCAAUUAUCACUUUUGACCUCGGAUCAGGUAGGGAUACCCGCUGAACUUAA
rnacentral:misc_RNA from 1 species